GAUGAAGAACGCAGCGAAAUGCGAUAAGUAAUGUGAAUUGCAGAAUUCAGUGAAUCAUCGAAUCUUUGAACGCACAUUGCGCCCGCCAGUAUUCUGGCGGGCAUGCCUGUUCGAGCGUCAUUUCAACCAUCAAGCCCUGCUUGUGUUGGGGUCCUGCGGCUGCCCGCAGGCCCUGAAAACCAGUGGCGGGCUCGCUAGUCACACCGAGCGCAGUAAUACAUCUCGCUUUGGGCGUGCGGCGGGUUCUUGCCGUUAAACACCCCCUUUUUACCAAGGUUGACCUCGGAUCAGGUAGGAAUACCCGCUGAACUUAAGCAUAUCAAUAAGCGGAGGA
rnacentral:misc_RNA from 1 species